CUCUCACACCGUGCUGGGCACUGCUGAGUCCUGGAGCAGUUUCAGCCACUGUUCUGAUAGCCUAUCACAGCUGUCAAAUAGCUCGGUCAUUUCUCACGGCUAUCAGGGUUCCUGUUAUAUCUGGCUCAGUCGCUAAUUUGUAAAGUCUAAUCUGUUUGGUUCCUGCGUUAGAAACGAAGCAAAGUGGAACUUGUGCAAGACGCACAGAGAGAAACGGGAAAAAAGAAAAUCAAGCCAGGAACAACACAAGGGUGGAAAUGUUGAGAAAACACAACAGCAUUCCAGAGCACAAUCUGGGUAUAGGUAGGUAGCUGGAAGCCACCUUUAAUGUGAUGCAGAGAAAGGCAUUUGACCACUCUAGUUCUGGCUGUGCCUUAGGAAGACGUCAUAGCAGGACAUUCUACCGCCACAAUGAUGUUCAAGCUGGUAAUGUCCAAGGGCUUAUGAACUUGAAGUUUUGCAAGUGUU
rnacentral:lncRNA from 1 species